CAGAAACGGGACACCAACGAGACCAGGGACACGUGGACAACGAGAAUCGGGCAGGCCAGAGCGAGGCUGUCCUUGGGCACGGGGACAGCCCCGUGCUGCUCUGUGCCGCAGGCAGAGGGCACCGGGGAGGGUGGAGGGAGGUCCGGCUCAGUGAAGCGGGCAGGAGCCCCCACACUUCCUGAGUGGCUGCCCCAGGAGGCGUCUGCCUGCCUGGAUUUAAGACCUAAAAGUUAAAACAUCAGUGUGCAAGUACAGGUGAGUGAGGGUGGCCAGGCACUGGGAGGCUUGGGGUUAUCUUGGUUUCUGUUUUUACCAAUAUGUUUUUGGCACCAAAACAUAAAUGCGUAUGUUGGAGCUUUGAGUAUUUCAUGUGCGCUGCAGUGUGGUCUAGGUGACAGUAGCCGGGGAAGCUCGAGUGACGCUCCUGGCCGGGGAUGACCCUGGGGUGGCAGGUGGGCUGAAUCCAGGCUGGCUUUGUCCGGAGGGCUGCCUUCUCUCUGCCCCAUCUCUGCUGGAACCAAAGGGCGGGCCGGGGUAAGAAUGGUAAAUUUUGCAAGAAAUUGCAAGAUUUCUGCCCUUCUCCCAAUAAGAGCCUUUCUAACAAUGGGCUGAGUCUUUUGGGGAGGGAGGAGGCUGGGCCCUGACCUAGACCCUGACAUCUAGAGGCACAGGGUGCCCCACCACCCCCGAGGGAGGCGCUCUUAUUGCCUCAGCGUUUGAGUCGGGAAAGCCGAGGUGGCCACGGAGCAGCCACCCUGGCCCCGGGUGUGUCUGUCUGAGACCGGCACGAGGAGGCUUCUCGCCAGCUCCCCACCCAGGGGCUUGCAGGCCCCCUUCAAGGCCUCCUGGAAGAGAUUGUGUCACAAGCACAGAGAAGCAGUUGCUGGCAGCAUGCGCCCAGUGCCUGGGGAACAUGAGGCCCGAGCACUCGCUCUGGAGCGGGGCCACACGCUUCACCCCAGAACUGGAGCCCCUCCUGGAAGAAGACACAGGGAGGGAAAGGGGGCCGCCACCAGCCUUACCAUGACGUGACGUUGCGACUGGACCAAGCCUGGGGUAAAGGGAAAAACCACUGGGGGAGGGGUAAGGAGAUAGGCUGGACCCCGCCAGGGGGCAGCAGGGAGGCAGUGGGCAGUGGUCUCGGAGGCUGGUCCACUCUCACCUCCACCAGGAAGAAGACCUGGGAGGGGAGAACCACAAUACUGAACUCAGUGGCCCUAAUCCUCACGCACCCAGAGGCAGGUGCCAUGCUGGGCUUCUCUCCUAGAAAGAACCUGGGGCCCCUUAGGACUUCCCCAACCCAGGCAGCUUUUGGGGACAAGACUGAUCUGCCCCAGACAUCCAUGACUCGUGCCUUUAAUCUCCAAUCACUGGCCACACAGCACAGUGACUCAGGGUUACCUUGCAUGUGCAUGUGUGUGUGUGUGUGUCUGUGCUCCUGCCCCGGGGCUCUGGCAUGAGAGGCAGAGGCAGGAGGUCCCUCCAGCACAGCUGCCUCGGCACAGCCUGGCAGCACCCCACUCAACAUCUCUCUGCCUUCUGCUAGAAAAAUGAUCGCCAUGACUAGGCGACCUACAAGGUCUUCCUAUUCCUGAAAGUAACCAAUCAAAUAAAUCAUGCAAGGAGUCUGUCUUCCUAAAAUCUUAUAACCAUUUAUCCUUUUAAGUGACCCUUUCUAACAGUUUCCACUUCUCAUUCUGAUCUGAAGAACAAGGGAUUGGCUGCAGGUCAGCUUCAGUUGGAGAUGUCAAGUAAUGGAAGAUGUCCACUCAGCAGUCCAGAAGACUGAGGACAGUAUGCAUAAUGGAAAUGCUGAAAAAUAAACCACAUGUUACAAACAACUGAAUUAUUUGACCAAUGAAAUAGGUUCCUCAGUCACUGUGAAGCUCAGAAUGAACUCCCCAAGAAGAAAUAGGACAAGACUUAAAAUGAUCAUGGUUAAAGAUAAUUUUGACAAAGAAAUUUGGUCACUUUUUUCAGUUUACUCAACAGGUGCAGAGCCCAAGACAGAGUGCAGAGAUGUGAAGACAAUGUCUGGAGGAUCGGACCCCUCAGCACUACCAGGAGGCAGAGCUGAGUGAGGAAGGACGUACUGGGUGAAGCUCUGCCCACAGCUGCAACCUGGCCAUUGUGGGCACACACAUGUCUUCAAGCCUCACCAUGGCCACCUGUCUUGUCCUCAGAAU